AUCAAGUGUUGUGAAGUGAUGUGAAGUGAAAAAGUAUCCAGCUGUCAUGGAGGCUAAGAACUAUUACAAUUAUCGCGGGUGAUCUGGAAAUGUAUAUUGUACAGCGUUCGAAUUCCGUGGUGAAAUUUCAGUACGUGUAAAUAUGUUCCGUGAGACCAAGAUAUUUAGAGGCUCAAAGAUGUCUAACCGAACGACAUUUAUGAUUUAUUUCAGAGCAGAUUUUGAUAGAUGAUGAUUACUGCAAUGAUACUUUGAAUAGCAGUGAAGAUCACGAUCCUGUCCACCAAACUUCGGGAAACUAUUGCAGUAUUAACCUAUCAAUAGCCUGUCCAGAGUUGCCAUUCAGAAAUGAUCUAGUAUGUACCUAUGGAGCUGAUCACAGUAAACAUUGUGCAUACAAUUAUUUUCUCUUUGAAGUAAAAAACGUCACAUAUGGUGUAAAUAGCGCUGUUAAUACUCCAAAACUUAAAAUCAAGUUCUUUCAUAAUGAAUAUUCUAAUCAGACGAAGACUAACAGCAAGAAGACUCUCACCAACACCAACCCUCUGAAAACUAUCACAAAUUCAUCAUAUAAGGUUUCAAUAAUAUUUCUAAUACUGUGUGUAGUAAUUAAUACUAAUACAAAAAGCCUUACAAAUCUACCCAACAGAACAUUAUAUUCAUUUUGUAUUGCACAAUUGAUAUAUUCGUUCGUCUAUUUGAAUUACAAGUCUCCAUUCAGCGAGGCUAAAUCUUUAAUGGUUCUAUUUGGAUCGUUGUCGAGUAUACUGUGGAGCACGGUGGUCACUUUCGAAUACAGUCGUCUCAUGUAUUGUUUAGUUCAAAAUCAAAGAAUACCCACCGAAAUUCAAAUGAAAAAAUACAUGGUAUAUUGCCUAGUGUGUUGGAUUUUACCAACCUUUGCAUAUAUAUCGCACUUCUUAUUAUACUGCAUUUCCACUCCUAAUGACAAUUUAUUGAUCGUUUCUUGCGAAUAUAAUAAAGACCCGCACAAAGAAUACUCGUAUACAAGACUAACGAAAAUUUCAGGAAAAAUAAUAUCAAUCUGUCGUGUAAUCAUUGCAUUAGGGUCGUUAGCGUCAACAUUUGCAAUAGCUUAUAUGCAGAGACAGAAUACAAUUCGAUCGAAUUGUAAGCGAAAUUAUUUGCUCAUUUAUGUGAAAAUGAUGCUAGCAAUGUCUGCUCAUUUGACAUUAAAAUUGCUCAAUCGUUAUAUUUUACCAACACCUAGCCAAGUAUUGACACAUAUAGCUGAAAUAUUCGAUGGUUGUUUAGGCAUUUUUAUUUUUUUCGCUUUUUAUUACAAAAAAACCAUGCUGAAUAAUAUGUUGCUGAUGAUGUGUAAACCUGAAAAACCUCUUGCUCCUGAAAAUGUCGAAAUGAAAGAGCAAUAACGCUCAGUAAGCAUAGAAUGAUGAUUAAAAAUUAAAUGGCCUAGGAAGUACAUACCAUAAUGAACUGUAGGACAGAACAAGAGAGAAAAUUACGCGACAACGAAAAAACAGACGAAACUGAUAUUUUCAAAUACAAAUCAGACGACAAGAAAAGGUGUAGGUCAAGUUACCUACCAACUAAUGACAAUUUUUCGCAAACGUCUGAACUCAACGACUAUUUUAUUUUGAAUCAUUCAACUUUUUUUCCUGAUAAAAAAAUACAUUUCAAAGACAGCUACAUAAAUUCAUCUUUGAAAACCUAUGUCUCUUAUUAAACUAAAAAAGAUGAUCGGGGUUUCAAAUGAAAUUUUUGCAAUACCUACUAUUGACUUUUCAUCGUGAAAAAUUGAACAAAAAAUCAUAAGUAACUAGUUAAUCGAUUCAAGUUGCAGAAUUUUCCAACUUUUGCUGAGAGUAUCUCAAAAACAAGCUUGUUAUAAGGGGAAAGUGAAUUAUUGCUCACCAAUGGGAAAUACUACUUACCUAUCAUGUUCCACUAUUCAUCAAUAAUUUUUUCGGUAAAAUCCCUCUUUUUACAAAAAUGGAUUUUUUAUGCCAAUUUAUGAAGGUUUUUUUCCAUUCUCUCAUCACAAAAAAUUUAUUUCUUUGAAAAACCAGACGUAGAAUCUUCUCGUUACCUUUUAUUUUAUUCAUAAUUAUAUAUAUACCUAUUACUUAGUUAAAAAUAAUUCAGUAUUGCUCAAUGUUCAUAUUCGAUAUAUUUACUUAUACCAUACCUACAUAAUAACA